UGUGGAUUAAUUCGAUGCAACGCGAAAACCUUACCUACCUUGACAUGUCCGGAAUCCCGAAGAGAUUUGGGAGUGCUCGCAAGAGAGCCGGAACACAGGUGCUGCAUGGCUGUCGUCAGCUCGUGUCGUGAGAUGUUGGGUUAAGUCCCGCAACGAGCGCAACCCUUGUCAUUAGUUGCCAUCAUUUGGUUGGGCACUCUAAUGAGACUGCCGGUGACAAACCGGAGGAAGGUGGGGAUGACGUCAAGUCCUCAUGGCCCUUAUGGGUAGGGCUUCACACGUCAUACAAUGGAUGGUACAAAGGGUCGCCAACCCGCGAGGGGGGAGCCAAUCCCAUAAAGCCGAUCGUAGUCCGGAUUGUUCUCUGCAACUCGAGAGCAUGAAGUCGGAAUCGCUAGUAAUCGCGGAUCAGCAUGUCGCGGUGAAUACGUUCCCGGGUCUU
rnacentral:rRNA from 1 species